AACAUUGGGCUUCUUCCCUCACAGAUUUUGGGCUGGGCAUGUUGAUUCCUAGAAUUUCCCAAAUCGGUGCUCUCCUGCCUACAAGGUGUGGAUUCAAAUCAUCCACACCGACUAUGAGGAAGAAAACAAAUUUUGCCUCUUUGAAGAGCGGCUCACCGACCCGCAGAUCCACGAAAAAGCCCCCAACUUGAAUUUGUGGAAGUGCGCAAUUGCCACUGUUGCUGUUGCCUAUUACAUCUCAAUCCUAUGGCGGUGUAUCGUUUGCUAUUGAGUUGGGCAAAUGCUGAGUUGUCUUCAAAGGGUGUAGUGGCGAAGCGGCAAAACUCUACAUCUUUCAGGAGUGGUGAAACCAAGAACAACAAGUACACAACCAGACAACCAGAGCCAACAUAAUGAGUUGGAGGCAAAGUUUUUUUUAGGAGAGAGCAGCCCUUGAAGCUAAUUGCUAGAAGGUUUAUGGAUCACUAUACGAUAAGAUAUGGAGAAUGUGACUUAUUAAGUGGUACGACCUAUGGAUUGUGUAGUUUGGCACUGCUUGUUUUCUUAAUGCUUUUCCCAAACACGUCAUAAUUUCUUGUAAUCAAAAGAAGUUCAAAUUUAUGUGAAUUACCUAUUUGUUGGGUUGACUUGUAAUGUGAGUGGACAUGUUGUAGAGGUGUGAAAUUGUAAAUGGCGUCGUUGAAGUUGAAGGAGUUACAAGUGAAUCCACAAUGGACCUUGAGGAUGAUAACUCUACAAAAGGUAACUCACUUCUUUGAAAAUUGUUGAAUUCUUCUUCUCGCUUUUGUUAGGAAACAUUUUUCCACACAAUUGGAUCUCAUCAUCACAUGUAACAAAAACUUCCAUUUCUACUCUCUAUUUCCUAAAAUUUGUUUCUCUACGAGUCAAAUGGUUUUGAAAUUAUUUGAUUUCGGUUAUGAAACGGUUUGAUUUCUAUAGCA